CUCGUCGUCACUGUCACUGCAAUUGCCACAGCACUCCUGUAGGGGGCGAUAGAGGAGGACAGCAAGUAAGACAACAUGGCAGCGUUAAGUGUCAGAUAUCACUUAGCUCCUGUUAUAGGGAAACAUUUUGGAGGGAAUGGAGACGCUGCCUGUGGACACUUUGCUAUAGAAGGACUCGUCUUUGGGCUCAAGUUCCACGCCUUUAACGGUGGAGAACUGUUCGAUGUCCAGAACGUCUUUACAGUAGAUGGCCUGUGGCUGCAACAUGGAACACGACAGCGUCACGACAUCUGAUAUCUGGGAUUUUGCCAUCACGGCACACGUACUACCAGAGUGACUUGGCCUCCUCUGAGAACUUUCCGGAGUAUUCUUCCUGCACCUCCUUGACCAGCCGCUCGACCUCCUCCCGCUUGAUCUUCUUCUUCCUCUGCUGAAAGGGCGACUGGCCCUCAAUCAUCUCAUACAGCAGGC